rnacentral:misc_RNA from 1 species
GCAAGAGAUUUCUGAUGGCGAUGUAGAGAUUCCUGAGAAUUGAAGAGCUGAAAAGAGGGGAAUCGUGAUUCCGUUUGCAGGAGAAGGUUAAAUUCUGUAUUUUUUUUCUCUCAAUAUAAUAGUUCUAAUGUUUGGAUUUAUCAGAUGAUACAGAAUUUGAUAUAAUGUUUGUUUCAAUUUGCAUUAUUAGGAUUUUGAAUGUUCAUUCAUCUAUAUCUAUUGGAAUGCUUUUAGCUUGAACUUUUUUUCUCAAAUGCAUAGCCUCAAACUGCAGUUUGUAUUUCCUAUGCUAUUUGUAUCUAUUGGGGAUG